GCCGGAAUAGCUCAGUUGGUAGAGCAGAGGACUGAAAAUCCUCGUGUCACCA
rnacentral:tRNA from 20 species